UCUCCGUUGGUGAACCAGCGGAGGGAUCAUUACCGAGUUUACAACUCCCAAACCCCUGUGAACAUACCAUUUGUUGCCUCGGCGUUGCCUGCUUCGGCAGCCCGCCAGAGGACCCAAACCCUUGAUUUUAUCCAGUAUCUUCUGAGUAAAUGAUUAAAUAAAUCAAAACUUUCAACAACGGAUCUCUUGGUUCUG
rnacentral:misc_RNA from 1 species